rnacentral:rRNA from 1 species
CGCGGCCUAUCAGCUUGUUGGUGGGGUGAUGGCCUACCAAGGCGACGACGGGUAGUCGGCCUGAGAGGGUGACCGGCCACACUGGGACUGAGACACGGCCCAGACUCCUACGGGAGGCAGCAGUGGGGAAUCUUGCGCAAUGGGCGAAAGCCUGACGCAGCAACGCCGCGUGGGGGAUGACGGCCUUCGGGUUGUAAACCUCUUUCGACAUCGACGAAGCCUUCGGGUGACGGUAGGUGUAGAAGAAGCACCGGCUAACUACGUGCCAGCAGCCGCGGUAAUACGUAGGGUGCGAGCGUUGUCCGGAUUUAUUGGGCGUAAAGAGCUCGUAGGCGGUUUGUCGCGUCGGCCGUGAAAACCUGCAGCUUAACUGUGGGCUUGCGGUCGAUACGGGCAGACUUGAGUUCGGUAGGGGAGACUGGAAUUCCUGGUGUAGCGGUGAAAUGCGCAGAUAUCAGGAGGAACACCGGUGGCGAAGGCGGGUCUCUGGGCCGAUACUGACGCUGAGGAGCGAAAGCGUGGGGAGCGAACAGGAUUAGAUACCCUGGUAGUCCACGCCGUAAACGUUGGGCGCUAGGUGUGGGGAUGGGUUCCACUGUUUCCGUGCCGUAGCUAACGCAUUAAGCGCCCCGCCUGGGGAGUACGG